CGCGUAGGCGGUGAGUUACGUCUGCCGUGAAACUCCCCGGGCUCAACCUGGGAAUGGCGGUGGAAACGGGCUGACUAGAGUAUGGGAGAGGGUGAUGGAAUUCCAGGUGUAGCGGUGAAAUGCGUAGAGAUCUGGAGGAACAUCAGUGGCGAAGGCGGUCACCUGGCCCAAUACUGACGCUGAGGCGCGAAAGCGUGGGGAGCAAACA
rnacentral:rRNA from 1 species